rnacentral:lncRNA from 1 species
AAAAGGCCAGUAUCUCAAAAGGCCAGUAUCUCUAAAGGCCAGCUACUACAGAUGUUGGAAAGUAUAGGUGGAACAUAUAUUGUGUCAAAACGCAUAUAGCGGGUGUAGUGGUAUCACAUGAAAACAAACUCCGCCUGGGGUGAGGGCCAAAAAGGCGAAAAUGAAAUGAAAGGCAGCUAAGGUGACUAUUUGUGACCAGGUGUGCAUUUGUGUGUUGUAUGAUCUCAGCAAGCACCGCUGCUGCCCCUUACCUGGCUAAAGAGAGCCCGAUUGUGACCAGCUAAUACUGCUAGUACUGCUAAUACCGCUAAUACUGCUAAUACUGCUAAUACUGCUAAUACUGCUGGUACUGCUAGUACUGCUAGUACUGCUAAUACUGCUGGUACUGCGAAUACUGCUAAUACUGCUAAUACUGCUGCGUGCAGGGACUGAUUUCAUUGCCACCGCCACUUUCUGGAGGCCCCGCUGUGGCAUCGAAGGAUCCUCCCAGCAGCAGCAGUGGCAAUAGGG